rnacentral:lncRNA from 1 species
CCAAGCAAGGAAGAGAGGGAAAGAAAUGAAGAACAAACCCUAGGUGAAGAAUUUCAAGAGAAAAAGUGUGAAAAAUCAAGGAAAACAAGUAAAAAAGGUAGGAUUUUUUAACUUAAGCUUGAAAUCUAUUUUCCUUUAGCAUUUCUCUUUAUUUUUCAUGCUUAAAUUACAUAUUUUCAUGAUGAAUUCAUGGCUGGUCAAAAUGGGUAUGGAGAGAGAAAGAUGUUGGAAUGAUUUGAUUUUAAGUUAUGUUAGUGUUUUUAGUUAGUUUAGUAUAUUUAGAAACAAAACAACAAGAAAAGAAUCCAUUUUUCCCAUGAAUCUUCAUUGGCCGAAUCUUCCUUGAUAUGUGUAGGAGAUGGAUUGUUAUUAUUUCAAGAGAAAUGGCUUAGAAAAUGAUGAAUAAUGGUGAGAAAAUUAAGUAAGAAAAAUCACGAUGUUAGUGCACUGUAAUGGCCGAAUUUUUCCAUGAAAAAAAUGGGAAGGUUUUGAUGUUGAAAUUGGUGUUAUUUGAAUAAUGUUUGGUGAAUUGAGGUAUUAGAAAAGAAAUGGAGUAAUUUGGGAUUAAAUUGGACGCGUUAGUAAUUUAAUCGGGUGAUAAGACGAAUUAGGCCAAUACCAAGUUUAGAUAGUUACUAGUGCAUUUUUGCAUUCCACAUCAUGCAUUAGUAGUCUAAAUUAGUUUAAUUUCAAUUUAGUACCAAUGUGGUGAAUUUCUCGAUUUUGUAUUAUAUCAAGGUGGUGAGUCCUCCGAUAAAGGUAAGGGAAUUACACCCGAGGACCAGUAGUCUGAGUAUUUCGAGAAUCUACACUCUAGACCUAGUGAGUAAACUUACUGUCAUUUUAAUUAUCUAGGAUGACUUUUAGACGAUUUCAUGAAUUCUAUGAAAAACUAGAUUUUAAAAGGUAAAUUUUCAUAUUUUAUGAAUACAUGUGUUUCAAUGAAAUUAAUUUAUAAAUUGUUUUGAAAUUAAUUAUGAUUUUGAAAAAUAUAGUAUACGGAGACUGUUAUUUGUUGCAAUGUGAUUAUUUACAUUGAUUGGCUUAUGAUAAAUUGAGCAUGAUUGGCUAGUUGGCAAUUAUAUUGAAAAACGGAUUGUUUGGUUGCCUUGAAAGGCUAUGAAUUACAAUAAUUGUCAUAUCAUGUUAUUGAAUUUUAUUGAUUGGUGGGAUAAUUAUUAGCUUACUGCAGUAGGCGGGUUCCGUGGACCAGCCUAUGAGAGGGACACAGUAACCCCGUUUAUAUGUGCUCACCUCGGUUAUAGAGGCGCGUAGGGUAGCUCCUAAGGUGAUAUUUGAGAUCACUUCACGCUGAACCACCACGUGAUGGUGAACUCAGCCAACGCCAAGGAACAGCUGUAAUAUCCAACGAAAAAUAUAUUUUAUACGAAAUGUGGAAUUUUAACAGCUUUGGCGGUCUCGAUAGGAUGCCUCGACCAAUGUGUCCCCAAUGAUAGAUUUAUGACAUAAGCCUAGUUUUUAUAAGAUUCAUAAGCUUCUUUACGUAUUUUGAAUAAAAUGUGUUCUAAUGAUGUGAUCCAGUUUAUGAUAAUUUACCUUAUUGUCUCCAUGUACUCAACUCUAGAUGUUUAUGAUGAUGUCUGUUUACUCACUGAGAUUUUAUAAUCUCACCACCCUCUUUUCUACCCAUUUCAGGCUCAGUAUAGGCUGUAAAUAGCUGAUAGCGUCGAAGGCUACAGUUGACUCGACUACUUCAAAAAUCAUAGGUUCAUAGCCUUCUUUCACUUUUGUCAUUUAAGAGCCCACGUGUCACUGUAAAUUAAAUUUCAUACUUUAGUUAUCUGUACUACUGUAUGUAAGAAUUUAUUUUGUUUUUACUCUAAUAAAAAAAUUAAUUACGC